rnacentral:rRNA from 1 species
CCUACGGGAGGCAGCAGUGGGGGAUAUUGCACAAUGGGGGGAACCCUGAUGCAGCGACGCCGCGUGGGUGAAGGAGCUUUUCGGCGCGUAAAGCCCUAUCGGUAGGGAAGAAGAUGACGGUACCUGACCAAGACGCCCCGGCUAACUACGUGCCAGCAGCCGCGGUCAUACGUAGGGGGCAAGCGUUAUCCGGAUUUACUGGGUGGAAAGGGGGCGCAGACGGCAAUGCAAGCAAGGAGUGAAAGCCCGGGGCCCAACCCCGGGACUGCUCUUGGAACUGCAUGGCUGGAGUACAGGAGGGGCAGGCGGAAUUCCUAGUGUAGCGGUGAAAUGCGUAGAUAUUAGGAGGAACACCGGUGUCGAAGGCGGCCUGCUGGACUGUGACUGACGUUGAGGCCCGAAGGCGUGGGGAGGAAACAGGAUUAGAUACCCUGGUAGUC